rnacentral:rRNA from 1 species
UACGGGGGGAGCAAGCGUUGUUCGGAUUUACUGGGCGUAAAGGGCGCGUAGGCGGCCACCGCAAGUCGGUUGUGAAAUCUCUGGGCUUAACCCCAGAAAGGUCAACCGAUACUGCGGGGCUAGAGUGCAGAAGGGGCAACUGGAAUUCUCGGUGUAGCGGUGAAAUGCGUAGAUAUUGGGAGGAACACCAGUGGCGAAGGCGGCUCGCUGGACCGGAACUGACGCUGACGGCGCGAAAGCGUGGGGAGCAAACAGG